UCCUACACCCUUACCCCACCCCCUAGAUACUUAAGAACUGCCUAGGGGAAAGUGAGGCACCCCCACAAUAUUCAGAGGAAACAUUAAGAACAGUCCCACUUCAUCUCACUCCCUCAUUCCUGGGUGCUGAGCGCCUGCUGUCCCCCCCCAGACUGUGUGUUUGUGCCCCGAGCCCUGCGCCCCUCGCAGCCCAUCCCCCCGUACCUCAUCCCUGGGUGUUUGUGCCCCAAGACCUGGGCCCUGCCCUGAGCCCUGCACCCCUUCCAGCCCACCCCCCUCACCCCAUCCUUGGGUGUUUGUGACCCGAGCCCUGCACCCUGCCCCGAGCCCUGCGCCCCUUCCAGCCCAUCCGCCCCCCACCCCAUCCCUGGGUGUUUGUGCCCAGAGACCUGGGCCCUGCCCUGAGCCCUGCGCCCCUCGCAGCCCAUCCCCACCCCAUCCCUGGGUGUUUGUGCCCCGAGCCCUGCGCCCUUCCCCGCUCGCCCCUCCCAGGGCUCAGGUCUCCGCACUCCCUGUGUCAUCCGACAAACCUCCCACCCCAGAGCUCCCACUGCCCUGCGCUAGCUGGGCCCUGGGGUGCUGCUGGGUGGGUGGGGUGAGGCAGGGCACAGCCCCUCGGGGGCACCAGGUGUGUGGGGGGGGGGCAGAACCCAGCCCCGAGGGGUCACCGUGGCAGCAGGGUCCUGGCCGGGGGGGCAGCACCUUGCACUGUAGUUACAGACUCUGCUCCCGGGGUAAGGGGCCGGCACCAGGACGUGGCUGCAGGGGAGGGGGGCAGGGGUGUCACCGUGUGAACAUUGGGCAAGGGAGGGACGCCCCCUUCCUACCCCUGCAGGGGCUCUUAGCCCUGCGGCCCCUUCGCUUUCAGCCCCAGGCCUAGCCAUUGGGCUUGGUGCCCUGUGCUCCCUUCCCCACCCCCAGCUGCAGGGAGUGGGGAGGGGAGGGGCGUGAUGGGGGAAGUGCCCCCCCUCCCCCGAGUAGACUCCUCCUCCCCCCACCCCCCAUGGCUCAGAGCAGCCCACAGGCUGGGCACAGACUGAGCUCCUGGGAGCAUCCCGACAACUUCAGGCCACCGUCCCGGCGUAUCCACGGCCACGCGCUCCCUGGGGGGCUGGACAGAUGGACACGGGGCCACGUGCUCCCUGAGGGGCUGGACAGACAGACAGACAUGGCCACACGCUCCUUGGGGGGCUGGACAGACAGACACAGGGCGACAGGCGCCCCGGGACGCACACACAGAGCACCCGGCUGUGUGCAGGGCCACGCUGACAGACCUGCAUGAGGCCUGGAUUCGUGGGCCCACGGUGCCAUGAACCCGCGCAUGGCGCAGUCCCGGGGCUCGGGGAAUGUGCCCCGGGGCACCCCUGGGAACGGCCUCACAGGAGCGCCCAGAAAGGGGUGCGCACUCAGACACAGCCACGUGCCCACGUGGGCACCUGGCCGGCCCAGGCCCCGGGGCCCUGCAGCCACAGGCUGCCCGUGCUGUGCCCCUGGCUGCCCCCAGGGCUCACACAUUUGGCUGUGUCCGAGCUGAGCUGCCAGCACAGGCCCGGCAAGGGGGUGUCUGGAUACGGGGGAAAGACCCCCGCAUGGGAACAACAGGCCUGCAAGCAGGGCAGGAGGCUGAGCUCCCGGGAGCAUCCCAACACCCCCAUGCCACAGCCCCGGUGUGUGCAUGACACGUGUCCCCCACCACACACACAGCCACACGGUCCCUGGGGAUGGACAGACAGACGCACACGGCCGCUGUUGAAUCAACCAGGCAAGGUACGAACAAGCUUCAACAGCACUUUAUUUUCAAAGUGGAAACCUCUUUACCAAGCUGCUGCUGCACCCUCUGUAGCUCUCUCCCAGCCUCUCAACUCCUCCCCUCUCCUUCCUGUUUCCUGUCCUUUCGCACUCCCAACGGCCAGUGCGCCCAAUUCCAGUCCUUACAAGCAGCAUCUAAACUCCACAUUCCCUCCUCUCUUAAGAAACUCUCCCAAUUACAAUAAACACUGUUGUUCUAACCA